CUCAAAGGAAUUGACGGGGCCGCACAAGCGGUGGAGUAUGUGGUUUAAUUCGAUGCAACGCGAAGAACCUUACCUGGUCUUGACAUCCCGGAGACCCUUAGGAAACUAAGGGGUGCUUCCAUCUGGAAGAAUCUGGAGACAGGUGCUGCAUGGCUGUCGUCAGCUCGUGUCGUGAGAUGUUGGGUUAAGUCCCGCAACGAGCGCAACCCUUGCCUUUAGUUGCCAGCAGUUCGGCUGGGCACUCUAAAGGGACUGCCGGUGUUAAACCGGAGGAAGGUGGGGAUGACGUCAAGUCCUCAUGGCCUUUAUGACCAGGGCUACACACGUACUACAAUGGCCGAUACAAAGGGCAGCGACACUGCGAGGUGAAGCCAAUCCCGUAAAAUCGGUCUCAGUCCGGAUUGGAGUCUGCAACUCGACUCCAUGAAGUUGGAAUCGCUAGUAAUCGUGGAUCAGCAUGCCACGGUGAAUACGUUCCCGGGCCUU
rnacentral:rRNA from 1 species